rnacentral:rRNA from 1 species
UUCCGGUUGAUCCUGCCGGAGGCGCCGCUAUUGGAGUCGAUUAAGCCAUGCGAGUAGAAAGAAAUUAGAUUCUUUGCAUACUGCUCAGUAACACGUGGAUAACCUGCCCUACACUGGGGGAUAAUCUUGGGAAACUGAGGAUAAUACCCCAUAGACCACUACGCCUGGAACGGUGAGUGGUUGAAAGCUCCGGCGGUGUAGGAUGGGUCUGCGGCGUAUCAGGUCGUAGGGGGUGUAAUGGACCUCCUAGCCAUCGACGCGUACGGGUUGUGGGAGCAAUAGCCCGGAGACGGAUUCUGAGACACGAAUCCGGACCCUACGGGGUGCAGCAGGCGCGAAAACUUCACACUGCAGGAAACUGUGAUGAGGGAACUCCAAGUGACUGCACAAUGUGUAGCCUUUUCUUGAAUCUUAAUAGUUCUUGGAAUAAGGGCUGGGAAAGACCGGUGCCAGCCGCCGCGGUAAUACCGGCAGCUCAAGUGGUCGUCGCUUUUAUUGGGCCUAAAACGUCCGUAGCCUGUUUGGUAAAUCUGUGGGUAAAUCAACGAGCUUAACUCGUUGAAUUCUGCAGAGAC